AUGAUUAUUGGAUCUCCGAGUAGAAAUUUUCGCUUGAGCAUAGUGAUCGCGUCCUCUAGCAUUAAAACUUGUGCAUCCUUUGAUUCAAGUCUUGAAAUCGAAAACAUGGAAGCCUGUGGUGGAAUCAAGUUCAGAGAGAGUCUCAAGAUGAAGGUUGGGAUGAUGGAGGCGUUGUGUUUCAGUGACCGUGCGAUUUAG